GCCUUGCUCUUCGACUCUGCUUGUGGGUUUCGUUAGGCAUUUUCUUUAGUACGCCAUGAGUUUCACCUCCUACACCCUUUUUCACUUUCAUUUUGUUCAUGUUUGUUCUCAUUAUUGUGGCUCCUUUCUGCGGGUGUGUGAUGAUGGCAUGUUGGUUGAAAUAUCUUCUUCUUUUUCUAUUUUUCUCCACCAUGUUCGAUUUUGUUGUCAAGGUUGAUCUUAUGGUGCAGGGGAAACGAGCCCUAGCGGAGAACCCUGGAGGAGGCAUCGCGACAGCCAAAAAUGCCGAAGUCCAUAUGCAAUAAAAUAGUGAACAAGAGAAGCUCAAAUCUUCUUAUUGUGAAAACAUAUCGAAAUGACGGCAUCGAGUUUCUGAAAGAUCACGGCUUCUAAGUAGACGGGCAGCAAGUCCACUAUUCAGGUACGAUGUGAACUAAUAGACUUGAAUUUCAAAUAAACUGAUCCAUUCACUUUUUUUACUAUCUUUCAGUCGUUUGAUUGAGGUAUAUCUCAUUGAGUAGAAUGAAUUAACAAAAAUAUUUGUGUUUGAAUUAAGACCAUUUUGUCUAGUUAUUCUCUUGGGGAUAUAGGUAAUUUUGAUAUUUUUUAUAUUCGUAUCCAUCAAAACAAGCAUUUGAGUGUUCUCCAUUCAGCCUCGAAUAAAAGCAAGAUGUGCUAUAAGGAGGAGUUGUUUAGAUCAACGAAGUGGAAAUAUUCUCAUAUUAGAAAUCAACACUUAAUCAUCAUUAUAACAGAUGUUUCAGCAUCAACCAGCCUACUACUUGCAUAGCCAGGGUAACAAACACACACACACACACACACACACACACUCACUAACUCAUUUAAUCACUUCUAUAUGUGAGUCCUAGUGCUUGUUAUUGGAUCCCUUGAUUGGACAAGUCCAACUAUGUUUACUCUUUUAUCAGUUCCAGAUUUCAAGGUUAUUUUUUUAAAUUAUUUGUUAGCUUUGUUUUUCAAAGGUAACAUCUCAUAUGAAAUAAUGUUCUCUAGCAGAGGAUUUGUUUUUGGGUUUCUCUCAUUCCUAUAGCAAUACUUUCAGCUUGAAGAGAAUGUCAGCCAAAUUAGGCAGAGUAUCUGGCUUUUAUAUUUAUGUGUUAUUACAAAUUUAUGCAAUUGCUGAAAUUUAAGUUGGCUUUGGCAUUUUUAGUCCUUCUGACAUUGGGUAUGGACAAAAAUGUUGUAUUAGUUCAUGAGUAGUUGGCAAUUACUGGAUUUGUGUUUUAUUAUUACUA